UGGGGGAAUAUUGGACAAUGGGCGCAAGCCUGAUCCAGCAAUGCCGCGUGUGUGAAGAAGGCCUUCGGGUUGUAAAGCACUUUUAUCAGGAGCGAAACGCUGUCGGCUAAUACCCGGCGGAACUGACGGUACCUGAGGAAUAAGCACCGGCUAACUUCGUGCCAGCAGCCGCGGUAAUACGAAGGGUGCAAGCGUUAAUCGGAAUUACUGGGCGUAAAGCGUGCGUAGGCGGUUUCUUAAGUCUGCUGUGAAAUCCCCGGGCUCAACCUGGGAAUGGCAGUGGAUACUGGGAGGCUAGAGUGUGUCAGAGGGUGGUGGAAUUCCCGGUGUAGCGGUGAAAUGCGUAGAGAUCGGGAGGAACAUCAGUGGCGAAGGCGGCCACCUGGGACAACACUGACGCUGAGGCACGAAAGCGUGGGGAGCAAACAGGAUUAGAUACCCUGGUAGUCCACGCCCUAAAGCGAUGCGAACUGGAUGUUGGUCUCAACUCGGAGAUCAGUGUCGAAGCUAACGCGUUAAGUUCGCCGCCUGGGGAGUACGGUCGCAAGACU
rnacentral:rRNA from 1 species